UACGAAGGGGGCUAGCGUUGCUCGGAAUUACUGGGCGUAAAGGGCGCGUAGGCGGUUCGUUAAGUCCUGUGUGAAAUCCCCCGGCUCAACUGGGGAACUGCACAGGAAACUAGCGGGCUUGAGUUCGGGAGAGGGGAGCGGAAUUCCGGGUGUAGCGGUGAAAUGCGUAGAUAUCCGGAGGAACACCGGUGGCGAAGGCGGCUUCCUGGACCGACACUGACGCUGAGGCGCGAAAGCUAGGGGAGCAAACGGG
rnacentral:rRNA from 1 species